GUCUAUUGCCAUACCACCCUGAACACACCCAAUCUCAUCUGAUCUCACAAGCUAAGCAGGGUCACGCCUGGUUAGUACUUGGUUGGGAGACCAUGUGGGAAUACCGGGUGCUGCAAGGU
rnacentral:rRNA from 10 species